UAGAUCGUUCGGGGUGUCAAGUAUUCGCCCCGUUCUGCCUGUUGGCUUCAAAGAGGUAUUUGGGGAAACUUGUUCAAUAAAGAAUUUUAGGGCUAGGGGUUUAGGGGUUUGGGAUCGAGCGGCCUCGACGCGUUAGGCCACUUAAUAGUUCGCCAAGUUAUGCUCCGCAGCCGGAGAAUCGGAUGCGGCAAACUACGGAGACUUCGGAGCACUAACUGGCGUGUUAAGCAUAUUAGGUACCUCGCCGUUGGAGGCGGCGGAGGGCGGCACCUCUGCGUGAAGCGGCUAGAGACGUUCCUUAACCUUCACCUGCUCCCGCAGCGAUCGCUCCGGCGCCGCAACGACCUCCUCCCCUUCCCGCACAAAGAGUGCAGGGGAAGCAAACCCUCGUUUAGCGGGCUCCUACACCUCUCCGAUACAAAACGAAAGCACGAAAUGACGCACCGAUUCGACUUCCCUUUCCCCUACUUCGUCCUCUCGAGGUCCAAAUCCGACACCUUCUAGAACCUCCCUACGUUUGAGUUCAUGUUACUAAAGAAGUUCCUUAGUGUCGUCGAAGAAAGCUUCUAACUGGUACAAAAUGCGCCGGCCAUACCCUGCCUAACCCUUCUAGUCGAUCUCGACUUUGUUGAUGUCUCAAACCAUUUAGACAACCGUCUACGUUCGUCCAAGAUAACAUUUCGUAAAUUACUCGAUAAGAAUUCACGAUCAUGACCGGUCCUCGGACCUAGCUGAUUUUCAUUAGGACUUAUAAAAACAAAACCCACCGAUUAAAAGAAUCGGGAGGCAAGUUUUAGUGGUCUUAACAAAUUCCUGAACCAUAGGACGUAGGUACCUAAUCAACGGUAUAACCGGUAUGAAAAUUAAGUACAUGGACGAUUUAAAUCCUCGAAGUGUUAGCUUCCAAGAAGAGUGAAUUAUUUUGUUUGCCACUCCCCACAACUAGAGGAACGAAGCAAUACAGUAUUGAUAGUAUGGAGACUUCUGGCGAACUCUCUUUACUACCCCUUCAAGGUGUUCCGAUAUCUCCUCAAAAAGUCGUGCUUUCGUCAUUCCCGAAGUCUCACGUUUUGUCUUUGAAACCUGUUUUAUCUAUGUCUACCAGAUUAAAUAAAGUCUCUAGAGGAACUAUUCCUCACAAAAGUAAGUUUAAAACUCUUCAACCUCUUCGAUUCAUCAUGGUGAUCGACCCUUCCCCUCGAACUAAACUUUUCCAAAAACUAGUUAUUACUGUUAUAUUAGUCACGCCUCUUGAGAAGAUCUCUAAAGUGAUUAGAUUCGACGGGUUUCGCACAGAAACUUUGUAAUCGCAGCGGAUGUUUCUGUUAUUUCUUGUACAACUGACAGGGAUCAAGCGGAAGUAGUGGACGGUUACCACCAAGUCAAUUCCAUCACGUCUACUGUGGUCACUGGAGACGGUACUGUUGACGAUUCACCGAAGCACUCCACUAUAGAAACAACGGUCUCUUCGGAAGCAGAUUCGAACUCUUUAAAGAAAGCAGAACACUAUGUCUAAACUGUUCACUACAUUGUUUUUCCCAGUCGUAUUAAAACCUUCAUUAAAAAGGUUGAUUCGGAAGACCGGUAACCUCACCAAGGUACCCGGACUUAACAUGUUUACGGAAGCUAUAAGGUACCCGGGUUCGUUCUUUUUACCUCCGGAGGUUCAACAUGAUAUCCCACAACCUCCGUUAAACGUCUCGUCUUAGUGAGUUAUGAUUACAUUUAUUAGACUGAGGUAACAACAGUUUACUCGCAAAAGUGGCUACGAACUAACGUACAAGUCGGCUUGACCAAAACCGUUGUGUAUUCUGUCAAUAGUACUACAAGGGACGACAGAACCUCUCAUGACCAGAUUGACGUAAACUAAACUCGUUCUAUUAACUCUUGAAGCACUCUGUACUUCUUUCGGAAGGUUCUCUUAACUUUUCUGUAAAUUUAAGUAAUCUUCUUGUCGAAAACCUUUCGUACCGCACCCUCUUUCCAAGUAGUGACAUAUUAAGUAACCAACAACGGUCCGGUAGUGAACGAAGCCUUUAUUUAGCGGAACCAGAAAACCGACUUAGUUACGGUAGAGAACUACUGUAUCAUCGUUCCGUCUUAAAGGUACGACUUCUGAACGGUCGAUGUGGUAGAUUUUUUGCCCGACGGAUAAGUCUACUCUUACCACUGUCAUCCAGUGGUUUCUCUAAUACGUAACUUGGCUCCUCGUGUGACCAUCUGGUUUAAAGUGUCUGUGGUGGUCGUUUUGUUUCGAUAUGAAACUUUCGCUUUACCGCAGGAGAGGUCAGUUGUAAACGUUCAGGGUGACAGUCGUUAGGCCAACCGCCCUUACUUUUUACACGACUUCAUCCCCAAGUGUAGAAGAAGAGGUUUUAGAACUUCAACCGACGAUAAUCUUAUUCCUUGGACACACUUUCCGAAGCCGUACACCUUGUCUGUCUCGCACAGAUAUUAUAGAAGUUCGUCUAAGAACUAGUUGUCUGUUGAAAUAAAAAAUUAGCUGUGUAACUAGUCGAAUAAGAAACAAGAGAGAUACCACAACGUUUCCAAAGAGUCAAUUGUGACUGCAAGUUCCUCUAACAGUUGUUAAUGUUUUCCCUUGUCGUUACAUAUGGUCUUCAAAAAUCUUCACAGAAACAACACUUAUGUUUAGUGUUACCUCCUGAACCUAGUGCGGUACAACUGUAGUAACAAAAAAUAUUGCUCCACAAACAAGGUCGCUAGUUCGGAAAGGACCACCGUAAUUAGGGAAGACCGGUUUAAGGACCUAGUGGUUUCAGUGGGGGGAAGAGUUUAGAUGGUCUAUACAGGGGUUUCUUUCAGAGUAGAAGGGUAUUACAAAUAUAAAGAGGAGACGCCGUUUGGUUCUUCCUACGUAACGAAAGUGGUUCAAGCUCCUCAAAAAUACGAACGUAGCCGCUUUCGUGUGUACGAAUAGUCUCGGGUAGACUUCUAAACCGGCGAUAUUUAUUAACAGAUUUAAUGUGGUCGUCCUCUUAGUUGUGAGCUUAUUUGAAACUGUACCAAUCACUAAGUCACCAUCGACCGUCAGACCCGGUUGGUUUACCACAGGGACGGAGAAGCCUAGGACGUCCAAGUAAGUCAAAGAACAGUUCCUUCCUGUUGAGUCCUGGUCUAAGAACUCGUUUAUUUACUCGUAGAGGCAGACAUAUAUCGAGUGCCGGGGUGUCUUCCGGAAGACAAGAAGACUUAUUCACCCACUUGAGCUUACGAAGUUGACAUCAUGUAGACACACAAUCCCUCAUCGUCGUCAUUUUCACCGACUAAUGAAUCGUAAUCGUAAAGACCACAUAGUAAAAUAAAACGUCGACUACUUUUUGUCAUCCCACAUUCGACACAUUUUAUUAUUGCUUACGAAAAUGACAGGGUCAAAGGGCGGUCACUAGAUGAUAAUAGGAGACUAUCAUAUCGUAAUUAAACAAACAUGAUGGAAGAACACCAUACACAUUACCUUUGACCCACUGACGAAAAAAAAAAAAAA
rnacentral:rRNA from 1 species